rnacentral:sRNA from 1 species
CGAAGGGUGUUCAAUGGGCGUCGUGCGUUUAAACAUAACCUCUUUGCCCUCUUUCCUUCCUCUUUUGCCCAUUUUGUCUAUCCAGAAUUACGUUCCUACAGUGUUUGAGAAUUAUACGGCCAGUUUUGAAAUCGACACACAAAGAAUAGAGUUGAGCCUGUGGGACACUUCGGGUUCUCCUUACUAUGACAAUGUCCGCCCCCUCUCUUACCCUGAUUCGGAUGCUGUGCUGAUUUGCUUUGACAUCAGUAGACCAGAGACCCUGGACAGUGUCCUCAAAAAGUGGAAAGGUGAAAUCCAGGAAUUUUGUCCAAAUACCAAAAUGCUGUUGGUCGGCUGCAAGUCUGAUCUGCGGACAGAUGUUAGUACAUUAGUAGAGCUCUCCAAUCACAGGCAGACGCCAGUGUCCUAUGACCAGGGGGCAAAUAUGGCCAAACAGAUUGGAGCAGCUACUUAUAUCGAAUGCUCAGCUUUACAGUCGGAAAAUAGCGUCAGAGACAUUUUUCACGUUGCCACCUUGGCAUGUGUAAAUAAGACAAAUAAAAACGUUAAGCGGAACAAAUCACAGAGAGCCACAAAGCGGAUUUCACACAUGCCUAGCAGACCAGAACUCUCGGCAGUUGCUACGGACUUACGAAAGGACAAAGCGAAGAGCUGCACUGUGAUGUGAAUCUUUCAUUAUCUUUAAUGAAGACAAAGGAAUCUAGUGUAAAAAACAACAGCAAACAAAAAGGUGAAGUCUAAAUGAAGUGCACAGCCAAAGUCAUGUAUACCAGAGGCUUAGGAGGCGUUUGAGAGGAUACUCAUCUUUUUGGAAUCCUGACCUUAGGUUCGGCAUGUAGACCAAGUGAUGAGAAGUGAAUACAUGGAAGAGUUUUGA